rnacentral:tRNA from 1 species
GCUGCGUUAGCUCAGUAGGUAGAGCAUCCGCCCGGUAUGCGGAGUGUCGCGGGUUCGAUUCCCGCUCGCGCCG